rnacentral:rRNA from 1 species
AGAGUUUGAUCCUGGCUCAGAAUCAACGCUGGCGGCGUGCCUAACACAUGCAAGUCGAACGAGAAAGUGGAGCAAUCCAUGAGUAAAGUGGCGCACGGGUGAGUAACACGUGACUAACCUACCCUUGAGUGGGGGAUAACCUAGAGAAAUCUGGGCUAAUACCGCAUAAUACCUUCGGGUCAAAGGAGCAAUUCGCUUAAGGAGGGGGUCGCGGCCGAUUAGUUAGUUGGCGGGGUAAUGGCCCACCAAGACGAUGAUCGGUAUCCGGCCUGAGAGGGCGCACGGACACACUGGAACUGAAACACGGUCCAGACUCCUACGGGAGGCAGCAGUGGGGAAUUUUGCGCAAUGGGGGAAACCCUGACGCAGCAACGCCGCGUGGAGGAUGAAGCCCCUUGGGGCGUAAACUCC